GACGAACGCUGGCGGCGUGCCUAAUACAUGCAAGUCGAACGCUGAAGAGAGGAGUUUGCUCUUCUUGGAUGAGUUGCGAACGGGUGAGUAACGCGUAGGUAACCUGCCUUGUAGCGGGGGAUAACUAUUGGAAACGAUAGCUAAUACCGCAUAACAAUGGAUGACACAUGUCAUUUAUUUGAAAGGGGCAAUUGCUCCACUACAAGAUGGACCUGCGUUGUAUUAGCUAGUAGGUGAGGUAAUGGCUCACCUAGGCGACGAUACAUAGCCGACCUGAGAGGGUGAUCGGCCACACUGGGACUGAGACACGGCCCAGACUCCUACGGGAGGCAGCAGUAGGGAAUCUUCGGCAAUGGGGGCAACCCUGACCGAGCAACGCCGCGGGAGUGAAGAAGGGUGUCGGAUCGUAAAGCUCUGUUGUAAGUCAAGAACGGGUGUGAGAGUGGAAAGUUCACACUGUGACGGUAGCUUACCAGAAAGGGACGGCUAACUACGUG
rnacentral:rRNA from 1 species